UAUGUAUAGGGGUAAGGGGAUACUAAAGUGAUGUAGGUAGGUAUGUAUAGGGGUAAGGGGACGAGGCAUCAGGAUAUAUGAUAAACAGAGUAGCAGCAGCUUAUAUGGUAGUGGAUGUGUAGAGUCAGUAUAAAUGUAUGAGAGUAUAAAUGUAUGAGAGUAUAAAUGUAUGGUAGUGGAUGUGUAGAGUCAGUAUAAAUGUAUGGGAGUGGAUGUGUAGAGUCAGUAUAAAUGUAUGGGAGUGGAUGUGUAGAGUCAGUAUAAAUGUAUGGGAGUGGAUGUGUAGAGUCAGUAUAAAUGUAUG